UUACUGCUCAGUAACACGUAGUCAACAGUCCCUGGAGACCAGGAUAACCCCGGGAAACUGGGAUUAAUCCAGAUAGGUCAUCUCAUCUGGAAGGAGAGAUGGCCUAAAGAGGCAAAGGGCUUCUUCCUCGCAUCUGCUCCAGGAUGGGACUGCGUCCGAUCAGGCUGUUGGCGGGGUAAUGGCCCACCAAACCUGUAACCGGUACGGGCCUUGAGAGAGGGGGCCCGGAGAUGGACACUGAGAGAAGGGUCCAGGUCCUACGGGGCGCAGCAGGCGCGAAACCUUCGCAAUGCGCGAAAGCGUGACGAGGUUAAUCCGAGUGACUUCCGCUGAGGAGGUCUUUUGUCAGCUGUAAAUAGGCAGGCGAAUAAGGGGAGGGCUGCUGGGUGUCUGCCGUCGCGGUUAUACCAGCUCCUCCAGUGGUCGGGGCGAUUUUUGUGCCUCUAGCAUCCGUAGCCGGGUCUGAACGUCCUCUGUUAAAUCCCUCCGCUUAACCGUUGGCCUGUUCAGGAUACCGCUGGUCUAGUUGGCGGGAGAGGCGGUCGGGACUCCCCCUGGAGUGGUAAAAUCCUUCUUUCCGCGUGGGACGUUUUAGGCGGGAUUUGAGCGUCCGCUUAAUGUCCCCCGUGAGGGAUGAAAGCUGUUGGAGCGUAACUCAUUAAAUAAUCGGGGCCUCGGCACCGUAAACCGCGUUGUCUUCGGAGAGACGUUUGUACUACCUGAUGGGUGUUCAUCUGGUAUGCGUGGACUUUUCCCACUGCG
rnacentral:rRNA from 1 species